AUAUGUGUUUUCUUUCCAGUAGCACCACCACCAUCACCACCACAACAACAACAACAACAACCACAACAACAACAACAACAACAGGAAUGGGUGUCACCUGGCCAGCCUUCGCCACACUAGGACCUGCUCCCCGCCCGCUCCUGCCUGCUGCACCUGCCUACACCUCGCCGUGACAGGAGCGUGACAGAUAGACAAACAGAUUGACAGAUAAACAGACAGACUGAAUCAUGCGUGUGUGGUGGUGGCUGACGGUGGCGGCGCUGGUGGUGGCGGCGCUGGGGGUCCCUGGGGCAAACGCGCAGAGGAGCUCCAACAGACUCGCGCAGAUUAUGAGGACCAUGAUGAGUGGCGUGGGCAACGUGGCGUCCAGGAUAAGCAAAGGCAU